rnacentral:rRNA from 1 species
UACGUAGGUGGCAAGCGUUGUUCGGAAUUAUUGGGCGUAAAGGGCGCGUAGGCGGUUUGUUAAGUCGGCUGUGAAAGCCCGGGGCUCAACCCCGGAGGGUCAGCCGAUACUGGCAGACUAGAGUACGGAAGAGGUAGCUGGAAUUCCAGGUGUAGCGGUGAAAUGCGUAGAUAUCUGGAGGAACACCAAUAGCGAAGGCAGCUCGCUGGGACGUUACUGACACUGAGAUGCGAAAGCGUGGGGAGCAAACAGG